UACGGGGGGGGCAAGCGUUGUUCGGAAUUACUGGGCGUAAAGGGCUCGUAGGCGGCCAACUAAGUCAGACGUGAAAUCCCUCGGCUUAACCGGGGAACUGCGUCUGAUACUGGAUGGCUUGAGUUUGGGAGAGGGAUGCGGAAUUCCAGGUGUAGCGGUGAAAUGCGUAGAUAUCUGGAGGAACACCGGUGGCGAAGGCAGCAUCCUGGACCAACACUGACGCUGAGUGAGCGAAAGCCAGGGGAGCAAACGGG
rnacentral:rRNA from 1 species